CACAUACAUGUCAGUACAUACACACAACCAGUAGGUCACAUGUCAGUACAUACACACAACCAGUAGGUCACAUGUCAGUACAUACACACAACACGUAGGUCACAUGUCAGUACAUACACACAACACGUAGGUCACAUGUCAGUACAUACACACAACACGAAGGUCACAUGUCAGUACAUACACACAACCAGUAGGUCACAUGUCAGUACAUACACACAACAAGUAGGUCACAUGUCAGUACAUAUACACAACCAGUAGGUCACAUGUCAGUACAUACACACAACAAGUAGGUCACAUGUCAGUACAUACACACAACCAGUAGGUCACAUGUCAGUACAUACACACAACCAG
ensembl:lncRNA